UUGUUUAUGUAUUAUUUUUUUGAAGAUUUUAGAGAACAAAGGCAAGUUAUAUAUUGGUCUGUAGUUAUUUAGUUCUGUAGGAUUGACUCUUUUGAGGAUCAGGGUGACCCUUGCCAUCCAUACUCAAGACAGCAUGGGACACCUCAAAGUACUAUACGUAUAACUAUAUAUACAGAGCUAAAUAACUACAGAAUAACAUCUAACUCUCCUUUGCUCUCUGAAAUCUUCGAAAAAAUAAUCCAUAAACAAAUCUACUCCUACCUCCUAUCCCAUAAUAUACUGAACCUUUGCCAGUUUGGGUUUAGACCUGAAUAAAAGCACAAAUGAUCAAUUAUUCAGAUGCUCGAAUUACUAUAUACAGCAACUGAAAAAAAUGAAUAUCCUCUGGGGCUCUUCAUAGACCUACGUAAAGCAUUUGAUACAGUAGACCUCGAUGACGCACUGACUUUCUUGGGUUAUCCUGGGUGGCUAACCCUCCGGGGUUAAAAAUCCGAACGAAAUCUUAUCUUAUCUUACCAUGCACCUAAAACUAGAGCAUUAUGGGGUCAGAGGACACACUCUUCUUUCAAUACACCGGCUGUAUCCCAACGAAGCGGGGCGGCCCAAAAGGAAAAACAGAAGUUUCUCCUUUCACAUUUAGUAACAUAUACAGGAGAAGAGGUUACUAGCCCCUUGCUCCCGGCAUUUUAGUCGCCUCUUACAACACGCAUGGCUUACGGAGGAAGAAUUCUGUUCCACUUCCCCAUGGAGAUAAGAGGAAAUAAACAAGAACAGGAACUAGAAAGAAAAUAGAAGAAUACCCAGAGGGGUAUGUAUAUAUAUGCUUGUACAUGUAUGUGUAGUGUGACCUAAGUGUAAGUAGAAGUAGCAAGACAUACCUGAAAUCUUGCAUGUGUAUGAGACAGACAGAAAAGACACCAGCAAUCCUACCAUCAUGUAAAAUAAUUACAGGUUUUCGUUGUACACUCGCUUAGCAGGACUGUAGUACCUCCCUGGGCGGUUGCUGUCUACCAACCUACUACCUAGGCUUAGUGAAGACAUUAGUAUGUAUUCAUAAAUGGCGUGACUUCCAAUACUCAACCUGUAGUUGUAUUUAUUGUUUGUGGUUCAUGUAUAUUUGUCCUAGGUCCUCUACUCUUUCUUAUUUACAUCAAUGACCUCCCAAAUGCACAUCCUGUACCUUUAUAAAGUUGCUUGACAAGGUACAUCCUGUACCAUUAUACUGACAAAGGUACAUCCUGGGCCACUAUAAAAGUACAUGAGGAAACAAAUGCUCCCUAAAUAUUUCCUUUCCAAAUUGUUGACCAGUUACAAAUUUUUGUCAUUAUUGUUUAGUAUUUUAGUUGACAAAUAGUGUUUUCUAAUACGUAGAGGUUUUAUGUACCAAUAAAUGUAAGUUAGUGUACUUUAGGAUAAACGGUUUUGUAAUUACAUUAUCCUUGUUUUA